rnacentral:misc_RNA from 1 species
AAGUCGUAACAAGGUUACCUUCUGCAGCUGAGCUUCGGAGACCUUGCAACCCCACGUGGAGGCAGCACGACAGUAAACAAAGCUGACCGUUUGCAAGUUGGCCACAUGGCCAGCAACACAAUCGAAUUGACGGGGAACUCCUAAAGCCUACAACACCAACCGCCCGGGGAAACUCGGGUGGGGGCCCUCACGGGAUGGUAACAGCGUGUAGGAUACAUGGACAAUCCGCAGCGGAGCCCCUAAUGGCGAGAGCCCAUGGGGAACGUUCACAGACUAAGUGAUUGUGGGCCAGGCUUGAAGCUUGGCCUAAGAUAUAGUCGGUCCCAGCUUGAAAGGGCUGGGAACAGCGUCCGUAGGUGAACCUGCGGAAGGAUCAUUAGAGUUCAUGCCCUCACAGGUAGAUCUCCCACCCUUGAAUUAUACAUACCUUUGUUGCUUUGGCGGGCCACGUCCGCGUGUCGGCUUCGGCUGGCUGCGCCCGCCAGAGGACCCCAAACUCGUUUGUUUAGUGAUGUCUGAGUACUAUAUAAUAGUUAAAA